rnacentral:rRNA from 1 species
UCGUCAGCUCGUGCCGUGAGGUGUCGGCUUAAGUGCCAUAACGAGCGCAACCCCUCUCCGUAGUUGCCAUCAGGUUAAGCUGGGCACUCUGCGGACACUGCCACCGUAAGGUGUGAGGAAGGUGGGGAUGACGUCAAAUCAGCACGGCCCUUACGUCCGGGGCCACACACGUGUUACAAUGGCGCGUACAGAGAGCCGUCUGCCCGCAAGGUCAGACCAAUCAGAAAAGCGCGCCCCAGUUCGGACUGGGGUCUGCAACCCGACCCCACGAAGCUGGAUUCGCUAGUAAUCGCGCAUCAGCCAUGGCGCGGUGAAUACGUUCCCGGGCCUUGUACACACCGCCCGUCAAGCCAUGAAAGCCGGGGGUGCCUGAAGUCCGUGACCGCAAGGGGCGGCCUAGGGCAAAACCGGUGAUUGGGGCUAAGUCGUAACAAGGUAACCGUA